AUUGAACGCUGGCGGCAUGCUUUACACAUGCAAGUCGAACGGUAACAGGCCGCAAGGUGCUGACGAGUGGCGAACGGGUGAGUAAUGCAUCGGAACGUGCCCAGUCGUGGGGGAUAACGCAGCGAAAGUUGCGCUAAUACCGCAUACGAUCUAUGGAUGAAAGCGGGGGACCGUAAGGCCUCGCGCGAUUGGAGCGGCCGAUGUCAGAUUAGGUAGUUGGUGGGGUAAAGGCUCACCAAGCCGACGAUCUGUUGCUGGUCUGAGAGGACGACCAGCCACACUGGGUCUGGUACACGGCCCAGACUCGUACGGAAGGCAGCAGUGGGGAAUUUUUGACAAUGGGAGCAAGCCUGAUCCAGCAAUGCCGCGUGCAGGAAGAAGGCCUUCGGGUUGUAAACUGCUUUUGUACGGAACGAAACGGUCCUGGUUAAUACCCGGGGCUAAUGACGGUACCGUAAGAAUAAGCACCGGCUAACUACGUGCCAGCCGCCGCCGUAAGAC
rnacentral:rRNA from 1 species